GACCGUGAAAAAAGAUUGGGCUGAUAUGUUCUUCUGGUUUAAGCGGCCCGACGGCCCGUAAUCGAAAACCCUAAGUUUGAUUACGCAAAAAUGGAGUUCGUCUCUACUCUUGCGCCUUCAUCGAGAACAUCGACAGAGGAAGCUAGGGGUUCGUCAUCUCCCCCAGAUCCGACCAUGUCAAACAAGCAUGGAUGUUCUGGAAGGAACCUCGAGUCAGAUCUUCAUAAUCAACUUUUGUGUCGUUCACAGUUCCCGUCGUUACGCUUGCUUUUGACCUCCUAUGAUCUGUUACGCAGCGGUGGAUCUUCACUUAUAAAAAGGGGAGACUGCACCUUUAUGAAAAUCACCCUCCCGGUUGCUAAUAUCAGCAAAACCUCAUCUUCUUCGAUUUCAUAGCUUAGCCUUUCAUGCUCACUGAUUUGAAGGCCAUCGGUGUUCUUCCACUGUGGUGGUGUGACUUCAGCUUCUGGGAAGCGAGAAACGUGAAAGGAGGCGUCGAGCUAAUGGGCUUGGACAUGCUUAUCCUCGACUCUAAAGGAGCAACCCUCAUACCGCCACCGUCUCACGGCUUACCGGCAUCUUUUUAAGGCGGAUUUGAUGUAACUCGCUGCAAUCAGAAUUACAUGCUCUCUAACUCACCUCUACUGAUACGGUUCAGCGGUUCAACCGAAUUUGAAGAGAUACAGUUCUACCAAUUCCUAAAGAACGCUCAAGUUCCGUAAUCACAGUGAGGUACUUAGGCUGGCCAACAAGAACACACACCUUAUCUGCGAGCUCACAGCUGUGAAGAGUAUUGUGAGUGACCCUACACAAGGAAAACAUCGUGUCAUGACCGGAGGUCUCCAGCUGCUCCCAGUUAUGAUGAUGUUGCAAGAAGCAUAAACCUCAAGAUUGUUGGAGGUGCUCAGUCAUGUUUUGGCAACAAUUAAAAUCGAUAGUGAUGUUUCUCUGACUUUGAGUUUGUUCCACUCGCAACUCUCAAGCUCUAUCGUUUCACAAGCACCUGGAAGGCUUCUGUGUUGAUCUAAUAGUUGUUGCAACAAGCGUAAACCCCCAAGAUUGUUGGAGAACAACAUAGACACCAAGAACAGAUUAACAGAAAUAAAACUAAACACAAACUCAGACUUGGACAAUAGAACGAAUCGACUACAAGAGGAGCAGCUAAUUAGAAAAGAUGCACCAGAGUUGGAACCUAUGCUUGCCGCAAAAUCAAACCUGCAGUUAUAACGAGGACUGAACCCGGUAGAGUAUGGCGAUCCCGAUGAUCAGUCCUUAAAGAUCCAGGUUGUCAAGAACAGCUCGUGCAGCCCGCCUAAUCCGCAGCCUCCACGAACAAACAGCAUCCUUCGCAACCGAGUGCACCCGCUCACACCAAGUCGAGCUUUAUUUGGAGAAGAAACCACCAAGAGCCUCCACAGAUUAUCGGACCUACAUCAAGAAAACAGAACGAGCAAGCGGGCUCUGAACGUGCCUCCACCAAAGGAAGAAGCCGUGGUUGACAAGGCCGACGACUCUCCACCUCGCACAGGCACCGCGACGGAGAACCCGUAACGGACCUUCACGAUUUCGAACCGAAAUCAACCCCUGGAAGCCCCCGCGAGAUAGACUGACCGGUCUAACAAGGAACACCUGCGGAGAACACCAAGACACGCAGAGAAACACCGCAAUGCCACCGCCUGGAGAAACCGAGAAGCGCCUUCAACCAAGCGAGUCUUCUCACCCACGCCGAGAACGGAAGGUAGAGGAAGCAGAGGAUGGAGACGGAUCUACUUCCGGAAUCCAGAUCUGACGCCAGAUCGAGACUUCCACGACCACACCCGACCGAAGGAACCUCACAUCCACUCCUCCUCCACGCUUCUACGGAGUUCCGAGAGAGACAGCACCAGAUCUGGAACCGCGGUGGCGCAAGCCCCCAGAACACUGAGAAAGGAAGCAAGAAGAGGGAGGGAGAGGAGAGGAGAGGCGAGAAAGAAGAGAGCAGCAACGGGAGGGGGCGGACCGGAGCCGAGGAGGCCGCCGACCACCCAACGAGAUCUGCAACUAGGGUUUUUUUUUUUUUUUUUUAGAGAGAGAAGUAGAAGAGGUAAUUUUAUCAUCAUCAUCUGGUUUUUGUUAACUGUGAAUUACUUUACUGCUUCUUGGAACAAGCAUAAACCCCAAAAGCGGAAAAACAUGAGUUUCACAGGUCAAUAUAUAGUUUAAUAGCUUAGUUUGGCAGUCUAUAUUUUUUGUUUAAAUAGGAGAAACGUGUAUUUUCACAUAUCUGUACAUUAUCAUGUGACAUCACUGCUAUAAUAUAAAUAAAAAAACAACGCAAAAUUUGUUAUACUUU